CCUACGGGAGGCAGCAGUGGGGAAUUUUGGACAAUGGGGGAAACCCUGAUCCAGCCAUUCCGCGUGUGCGAUGAAGGCCUUCGGGUUGUAAAGCACUUUUGGCAGGAAAGAAAUCGCACAGAUUAAUACUUUGUGUGGAUGACGGUACCUGCAGAAUAAGCACCGGCUAACUACGUGCCAGCAGCCGCGGUAAUACGUAGGGUGCAAGCGUUAAUCGGAAUUACUGGGCGUAAAGCGUGCGCAGGCGGUUCGGAAAGAGAGGUGUGAAAUCCCAGGGCCUAACCUUGGAACUGCACUUUUAACUCCCGAGCUAGAGUAUGUCAGAGGGGGGUGGAAUUCCGCGUGUAGCAGUGAAAUGCGUAGAUAUGCGGAGGAACACCGAUGGCGAAGGCAGCCCCCUGGGGUAAUACUGACGCUCAUGCACGAAAGCGUGGGGAGCAAACAGGAUUAGAUACCCUGGUAGUCCACGCCCUAAACGAUGUCAACUAGCUGGUUGGGGCUUCGGCCUUAGUAGCGCAGCUACGCGUGAGUAGACCGCCGUGGGAGGUACGGUCGCGAGAGUAAACUACAAUAGAGUAGACGGCGUGAGACGUAGACCGACGGACGACGACGAGGGAGGAGG
rnacentral:rRNA from 1 species